rnacentral:rRNA from 1 species
AUACGGAGGGGGCUAGCGUUGUUCGGAAUUACUGGGCGUAAAGAGUUCGUAGGCGGACUGAUAAGUAAGAGGUGAAAUCCCAGGGCUCAACCCUGGAACUGCCUUUUAAACUGUCAGUCUAGAGACCGGAAGAGGUUAGGGGAAUACCUAGUGUAGAGGUGAAAUUCGUAGAUAUUAGGUGGAACACCAGUGGCGAAGGCGCCUAACUGGUCCGGUACUGACGCUGAGGAACGAAAGCGUGGGGAGCAAACAGGAUUAGAAACCCUAGUAGUCC